CCUACGGGGCGCAGCAGUGAGGAAUAUUGGUCAAUGGGAGAGAUCCUGAACCAGCCAAGCCGCGUGAGGGAAGACGGCCCUAUGGGUUGUAAACCUCUUUUGUCGGAGAACAAAACCCGGGACGUGUCCCGGACUGCGUGUAUCCGAAGAAAAAGCAUCGGCUAACUCCGGGCCAGCAGCCGCGGUAAUACGGAGGAUCCGCGCGUUAUCCGGUUUUAUUGGGUUUAACGGGUGCGUAGGCGGAAGGUUAAGUAAGCGGUCAAAUGUCGGUGCUAAACAGCGGACUGCCGUUGAGACUGGUCUUCUUGAGUGAGCGAGAAGUAUGCGGAAUGUGUGGUGUAGCGGUGAAAUGCAUAGAUAUCACGCAGAACUCCGAUUGCGAAGGCAGCAUACCGGCGCUCAACUGACGCUGAGGCACGAAAGCGUGGGGAUCGAACAGGAUUAGAUACCCCUGUAGUC
rnacentral:rRNA from 1 species